rnacentral:rRNA from 1 species
GAUGAACGCUGGCGGCGUGCCUAAUACAUGCAAGUCGAGCGAACGGACGAGAAGCUUGCUUCUCUGAUGUUAGCGGCGGACGGGUGAGUAACACGUGGAUAACCUACCUAUAAGACUGGGAUAACUUCGGGAAACCGGAGCUAAUACCGGAUAAUAUUUUGAACCGCAUGGUUCAAAAGUGAAAGACGUUCUUGCUGUCACUUAUAGAUGGAUCCGCGCUGCAUUAGCUAGUUGGUAAGGUAACGGCUUACCAAGGCAACGAUGCAUAGCCGACCUGCGAGGGUGAUCGGCAACACUGGAACUGAGACACGGUCCAGACUCCUACGGGCGGAAGCAGUAGGGAAUCUUCCGCGAUGGGCGAAAGCCUGAAGGAGCAACGCCGCGUGAGUGAUGAAGGUCUUCGGAUCGUAAAACUCUGUUAUUAGGGAAGAACAUAUGUGUAAGUAACUGUGCACAUCUUGACGGUACCUAAUCAGAAAGCCACGGCUAACUACGUG